AUUGAAUUAACUUGGAUACUGUAGCUGACGCGCAAGCGUAUGUGCUCGUGUUCAUUUUAUAUUCUAAUCCCUUUGUGCACCUUUGCUGGUCUUGGAGUUUGAAAGUGAACCACUCGUGUUCUUUGAAUGCGGAUCUAGGGUGUCCUUAUACGACGCUCUUACUCACUAGUAAAGCUUUGAGAUUAGAUUUAUAUACCAUGUUUAAAGUCAAAGAAUGUUAACUUUGUUGGCGCAAGUCAAUGAAAACCUUAUACAACUUUCAGCAACGGAUCUCUUGGCUCUCCCAUCGAUGAAGAACGCAGCGAAAUGCGAUAAGUAAUGUGAAUUGCAGAAUUCAGUGAAUCAUCGAAUCUUUGAACGCACCUUGCACCCUUUGGUAUUCCGAAGGGUAUGCCUGUUUGAGUGUCAUUAAAUUCUCAACCUAACAAUUUAUUGUUGUUAGGCUUGGAUGUGAGGGCUUUUGCUGGCUUCCUUAAGUGUGAUCGGUCAGCUCCCUUGAAAUGCAUUAGUGGAAUCCUUUGUGGAUCAUCACAGAGUGUGAUAAUUAUCGUCGCUCUUGAAGUGAAGCAAUAUUAUAUGGAAUCUGCUUAUAACCGUCCUUAAGCUGGACAAUUUACUUGACAAUUUGACCUCAAAUCAGGUAGGACUACCCGCUGAACUUAAGCAUAUCAAUAAGCGGAGGAAAAGAAACUAACAAGGAUUCCCCUAGUAACUGCGAGUGAAGCGGGAAAAGCUCAAAUUUAAAAUCUGGCAGUCUUGUGCUGUCCGAGUUGUAAUUUAGAGAAGCGUUAUCCGCGCUGGACCGUGUACAAGUCUCUUGGAAUAGAGCGUCAUAGAGGGUGAGAAUCCCGUCUUUGACACGGACUACCAGGGCAUUGUGAUACGCUCUCGAAGAGUCGAGUUGUUUGGGAAUGCAGCUCAAAAUGGGUGGUAAAUUCCAUCUAAAGCUAAAUAUUGGGGAGAGACCGAUAGCGAACAAGUACCGUGAGGGAAAGAUGAAAAGAACUUUGGAAAGAGAGUUAAACAGUACGUGAAAUUGCUGAAAGGGAAACGCUUGAAGUCAGUCGCGACGUUCAGGACUCAGCCAUGCUUUUGUGUGGUGUACUUCCUGUUCGUUGGGUCAACAUCAAUUUUGACCGGUGGACAAGGGUUCAGGGAAUGUGGCUCUCUCGGGAGUGUUAUAGCCUUGGAUCGUAUACAUCGGUUGGGAUUGAGGAACUCAGCACGCCGCAAGGCCGGGUA
rnacentral:rRNA from 1 species